rnacentral:rRNA from 1 species
AUUGAACGCUGGCGGCAGGCUUAACACAUGCAAGUCGAGCGGAAGAAGACUUCGGUCUUCGAGAGCGGCGGACGGGUGAGUAACGCGUGGGAAUCUGGCUCUUAGAGGGGGACAACUUGUGGAAACGCAAGCUAAUACCGCAUACGCCCUAAGGGGGAAAGCAGGGGAUCUUCGGACCUUGCGCUAAGAGAUGAGCCCGCGUCGGAUUAGCGAGUUGGUGGGGUAAAGGCCUACCAAGGCGACGACCCGUAACUGGUAUGAGAGGAUGAUCAGCCGCACUGGAACUGAGACACGGUCCAGACUCCUACGGGAGGCAGCAGUGGGGAAUAUUGGACAAUGGGGGAAACCCUUAUCCAGCCAUGCCGCGUGUGUGAAGAAGGCCGUCGGGUUGUAAAGCACUUUAAGUUGGGAGGAAAGGGUUGUGUCUAAUAUCCAUAAUCUAUGACGUUACCAACAGAAUAAGCACCGGCUAACUCCGUGCCAGCAGCCGCUGUAA